UAUUUGCCUUCGGGUUUAUAUGAUCCGUUCAUCCUAUUUCGACUCUCUAAAAUUCAAGAGUCUAUCCUAAAUUGAGGUAAAUUGUAUGGCUUUCCAAAUACCGUUUCGAUUCCUAACAUCACUGAAGAGACAUUAAUUGUCGAAAUCCGGAUAUGGUGUACAAAUUUUUGCACCUCAUGUUUGCGGUAUACCAUCUUUUCCGCAAGUUUAUUGUUUUCUAUUUGGUAUUAAAUUAAUAAAUUAAAUAAAGAUCCAUUUUGUUA